UACGGGGGGAGCAAGCGUUGUUCGGAUUUACUGGGCGUAAAGGGCGCGUAGGCGGUCAGCACAAGUCAGUUGCGAAAUCUCCGGGCUUAACUCGGAAAGGUCAACUGAUACUGUGCGGCUAGAGUGCAGAAGGGGCAACUGGAAUUCUCGGUGUAGCGGUGAAAUGCGUAGAUAUCGAGAGGAACACCUGCGGCGAAGGCGGGUUGCUGGGCUGACACUGACGCUGAUGCGCGAAAGCCAGGGGAGCGAACGGG
rnacentral:rRNA from 1 species